UUAAUUGAAACCAAAAUAGAGGUUUAUUACUGUUAAUAAUAAUAUUGAAAUAAUUUUUCCAAUUAAA
rnacentral:tRNA from 1 species